GUGUUCGCUUUGGCGGCACAUACACUAAAAUUAGAACAAUACAGAGAUUAGCAUGGCCCUUGUGCAAGGAUGACAUGCAAAUUCAUGAAAAAAAAAAGUGAUGU